rnacentral:misc_RNA from 1 species
AGCAUAGUGGAGAUGUUGACUGGUGUCCAGCCAUGGUUUGGGAAAUCAAUUGAAGAAAUAUAUCAAUCAGUUGUGAUCAAGCAGGAAAAACCACAGAUUCCAAGUGGCCUUCCGCCUGCUGUGGAUAAUGUUAUCAAGGGAUGUUUUGAGUAUGAUCUCCGGAACCGGCCUUUAAUGGAAGAUAUUUUAUAUGCAUUUCAGAGCUCACAGAAUGCAGUUUACAGUGAUGGAGGAUGGGUUGGUCUCGAAAGCAGAACCCUUGCUGAAAAAUCAAGUGUUGGUGGCUAUACUGCAUGGUAUCUCUCGAAAGGUCAUCUCCAAGUGGGUGAUGCAGUUCGUUCAAGAAAACCACUGAAUGCGUGCAAACCUCAAAACAUGGAUGUCUCUAGCGGAACUGUGGUUGAUGUAGAUAGCGACACUGAUAGAAAUGGUUUUGUGCUGGUUAAAAUUGCUGGAAUUCGCAACCCUCUCAGGGUACAAGAGUCAACACUUGAGAGGGUCACAUCUGGCU